AUUGAACGCUGGCGGAAUGCUUUACACAUGCAAGUCGAGCGGCAGCGCGGGGGCAACCCUGGCGGCGAGCGGCGAACGGGUGAGUAAUACAUCGGAACGUGUCCUUGAGUGGGGGAUAGCUCGGCGAAAGCCGGAUUAAUACCGCAUAAGCUCUGCGGAGGAAAGCGGGGGACUGGUAACGGCCUCGCGCUGUUGGAGCGGCCGAUGUCGGAUUAGCUAGUUGGUGGGGUAAAGGCCCACCAAGGCGACGAUCCGUAGCUGGUCUGAGAGGAUGAUCAGCCACACUGGAACUGAGACACGGUCCAGACUCCUACGGGAGGCAGCAGUGGGGAAUUUUGGACAAUGGGGGCAACCCUGAUCCAGCCAUUCCGCGUGAGUGAAGAAGGCC
rnacentral:rRNA from 1 species